UACGGAGGAUCCAAGCGUUAUCCGGAUUUAUUGGGUUUAAAGGGUGCGUAGGUGGUUCUUUAAGUCAGGGGUGAAAGACGGUAGCUUAACUAUCGCAGUGCCUUUGAUACUGAUGGGCUUGAAUGUACUUGAGGUAGGCGGAAUGUGACAAGUAGCGGUGAAAUGCAUAGAUAUGUCACAGAACACCAAUUGCGAAGGCAGCUUACUAAAGUAUGAUUGACGCUGAGGCACGAAAGCGUGGGGAUCAAACAGG
rnacentral:rRNA from 1 species